rnacentral:rRNA from 1 species
UUACCUACGGGGGGCAGCAGUAAGGGAUAUUGCGACAAUGGACGAAAGUCUGACGCAGCAACGCCGCGUGCGGGAUGACGGCCUUCGGGUUGUAAACCGCUUUUCGGGGGGAAGAGGAAGGACGGUACCCCCGGAAUAAGUCUCGGCUAACUACGUGCCAGCAGCCGCGGUAAAACGUAGGAGGCGAGCGUUAUCCGGAUUUACUGGGUGUAAAGCGCGUGCAGGCGGUUUAGCAAGUCGUGCGUGAAAGCGCCCGGCUCAACCGGGCGAGGUCGUGCGAAACUGCUUAACUUGAGGUAGGUAGAGGCGUGUGGAAUUCCGGGUGUAGUGGUGAAAUGCGUAGAGAUCCGGAGGAACACCAGUGGCGAAGGCGACACGCUGGGCCUGACCUGACGCUCAGACGCGAAAGCAUGGGUAGCGAACGGGAUUAGAUACCCUAGUAGUC